rnacentral:lncRNA from 1 species
GGCGGGGCUCGGGACGUAGAAACUGGAACUGAGAGCUCUUUCGGUAGCGCAGGGUUAGGGAUCAGUCGAGCCCCGGAAGUGAGUUGGCGGCCGUUUCGUUUCAUCUCAGUGAUGUCCUUUGGCGUUUGCGCCCCGUAACUCUGGUCUUCUGGACCUGCUCAGCUUGAAGUGCUCAGGGGCUUAAGUGAGAUGGCUCAUGUAAGAUGCAGAAGGCCACGCAGAAGGGGACAGUACUUUAAUCACUGCAAGCGCAGUGGGGAAAGAGGAAAAGAUCUAGAAUUAUCAUUUAAUAACUGAAACUAUUAUUUCCUGUUUCUUUCAACACAAGACAAAACCAAAAAACUUGUUUACCAAGGGGUACACAGGCAAGAGUCAGAGCCGAGUAACUUUUGUUGUUUUUAAAAACAGAUACUCCUUACUACUCCAGGGCAAGUAAGGAUCUGAACUGACCCAUUUCUCACAGUGUAUCUCAUCCCCACUGGAGCAAGCAACCGAGCAGUUUAAAAAAUAGACUUUAGUUAGGCCAGGCGAGUGUAUCCAUCCAUUCCCACUCACUCAUUCCAAUAGCUGUUCAGUAACUGCUCUGCGUGAGGCACUGUGCUGAUAAUGGAGACAUCAAGAGCAGAGAAACGUCAUUCUCGUCCAUCAGUAAGCGUACAGAGCGUGGGGGAAAGAGGCGCGUAACGACAAAGCAGCACGGUGGCACAGAACACAGAUGUGAGCCGCCAACUGCCAAGGAGGUUCAGAGGUGAUGCUGGAGCCCAAGGAUAACCUCAUACCGGAGUAAAAGCGAAAGCUGAGUGCUCUAUAAAUUGCCACUUCAUGAUAUGGUCACAUAUGAAGACUGCAGUCUCUGCAAACUGAGCUGAUCCUGCUGCUACAAAUUCAAAAUGGCAAAAUAAAAGAUGUGCAAAAGGGAGAAUAAAAAGGGCAUGAAGGCACAAAAUGGGAAUCUGAAAUCCAACUGCAGAAGUUACUCAUGCCACUGAGGCAUUAUGGAAAACAGGAAUUUGGAAUAGUCAGUCAAGAGGUUCUCCCAGUAACAGGUGAUGUCAUCCAUCUGCAAAUGGUUUAUGAUGAACUGGCUUCCCCUGGACAGAAGAUUAACAAGAAUAUUAUAUAUCACAGGCUACAUAUGGUUGAGUACUUUAUCAUGAGCCUCGUUCCAAGUAUUUUAUUUGAAUUAACUCAGCUGUUUCUCACGAACAACCGUAUAACUAUCAUAAUCCACAUGCAUUUAGGAAUAAAUUUAACAUUUGUU